rnacentral:rRNA from 1 species
GGAAUAUUGGACAAUGGGCGAAAGCCUGAUCCAGCCAUGCCGCGUGUGUGAAGAAGGUCUUCGGAUUGUAAAGCACUUUAAGUUGGGAGGAAGGGCAUUUACCUAAUACGUAAGUGUUUUGACGUUACCGACAGAAUAAGCACCGGCUAACUCUGUGCCAGCAGCCGCGGUAAUACAGAGGGUGCAAGCGUUAAUCGGAAUUACUGGGCGUAAAGCGCGCGUAGGUGGUUUGUUAAGUUGAAUGUGAAAUCCCCGGGCUCAACCUGGGAACUGCAUCCAAAACUGGCAAGCUAGAGUAUGGUAGAGGGUAGUGGAAUUUCCUGUGUAGCGGUGAAAUGCGUAGAUAUAGGAAGGAACACCAGUGGCGAAGGCGACUACCUGGACUGAUACUGACACUGAGGUGCGAAAGCGUGGGGAGCAAACAGGAUUAGAUACCCCAG